rnacentral:rRNA from 1 species
UACGUAGGGUGCAGGCGUUAAUCGGAAUUACUGGGCGUAAAGCGUGCGCAGGCGGUCUUUUAAGUCAGAUGUGAAAUCCCCGGGCUUAACCUGGGAACUGCGUUUGAAACUGGAAGGCUAGAGUGUGGCAGAGGGGGGUGGAAUUCCACGUGUAGCAGUGAAAUGCGCAGAUAUCAGGAGGAACACCGGUGGCGAAGGCGGGUCUCUGGACAGUUCCUGACGCUGAGGCACGAAGGCCAGGGGAGCAAACGGG